UGAAGUUUUUAACUUCUUUUUAUGUCUUGACUUUAGUUAACUACUGCAUUUUAGGCUGUAUAUAUAUACAGGAAUACAUGACGAGAAGUGAUUUUACAAUUCUUAGUACCUGAACAUGAAUGCUUGAUGAAAUGCUUUAUAAUAUAGCACUGUAUUUUCGCAGUCGUUGUGAUAGUGUAGGCCAUAGAGAUGUUGCAUAUAUUCAAAUUUUGGCUUAGGCAGUGUGUUAUAGACUCCGUGCAUGUCUGCUAGUUGUAAUGACUAAUCUCUCUCCAUGAAGUACAUAAUCUGUUUGACCUUUUUCCUUUUGUAGCAGCUAUAAUCUGUACUCCCUUCAUCUGGGUUUGUAGGGCUUGCACAGGCUUUUAGGUCCUCAACAUGCUAUAUGCCACCGAAAGUAUGUCUAGAAACUUCAUUCGAAUACAAAUCCAGUGACUGUUUAAUCGGGGUUUGGCAUAUGUUGGAACAGAUUAUGGUUCCAAUACUUUGUGGGAUGAGUACAUCAAGAAUGAAGAAUCACUUCAAGCAUGGAGUCAUCUAGCUGUGGUAUACACAAGAAUACUAGAGCACCCUAUAAAACAGCUUGAUCGGUACUUUAAUUGGCAUCCCAAAAUUUCGCUCCAGAUGACUCAUUUAUUCCACUGAAAAACACUCGCUCUAAACAACAUCACCAUGAAAUUAUUUGAUCUGGCAAGUGUUGUGUGUUGUGUCGGCUCUGAUUCAGUUGCAAUUGAGUUUGUGUUGUUAUCGCGGAAGAAUAUUGUUCUCACUUAUGGUGACUAGAGUAGUGAAAUUAUGAUCAAUGACUAGCAAUUUAUGCUAACUGACUGCUUACUUUGGGGAGUGUGGAUGACUGUCAUUUUCUAUGUGCUUACUCUAUGUAAUCACUAUAGAGUUUUUUGCUUUCAACCAGUACAAGGCUAUGUGGAGAAAGUAUGUAGAAAUUCAAAUGGAAUUCCUGACACUAUGUAAGUUUGGUUUCGCAAGUAAUUGAAGAAAUGCUCCAAGAAUAAGGCCACCAUCAAUAUAUUUGUUCUUUUAUGGGCAAAAGAGUCUGCACGUGCAUUAUCACUUUUUAUUUGUUGAGAAGUUUCUUACCUUUGUGUUGGUCAAUUAUUUUUACGUAGAUUUUGAUAAUGUAUUUUUAGCUAAGAUGCAUUAGAUCAUUGUAGUAUAGUCGAAUGGGAUGUUCUAGAUGAACAUUUGUGUACUAUUUGUGGCGAACAUAUCUCCAAUUGUAUUAUUGGAAAUUAAGGAAAA